rnacentral:rRNA from 1 species
AGCGAGAGGAAGGUGGGGAUGACGUCAAGUCCUCAUGGCCCUUACGGGUUGGGCUACACACGUGCUACAAUGGUGGUGACAGUGGGCAGCGAGACCGCGAGGUCGAGCUAAUCUCCAAAAGCCAUCUCAGUUCGGAUUGCACUCUGCGACUCGAGUGCAUGAAGUUGGAAUCGCUAGUAAUCGCAGAUCAGCAUGCUGCGGUCGAAUACGUUCCCGGGCCUU